rnacentral:rRNA from 1 species
CACAACUGCCAAAUCUCGGAUCCCUCGAUCCGUUGAACCCCGCGAAAGAACAAGUGCAUUAUGCGACGUUGGGCGAGAGGCGUCUCGCCGGUACCCGUGCCUGCCCUUCGGGGCCGGUCGGGUUCCGAAUCAAAGCGUACACCCCAUUUUCAACCCCACUAAACUCUGAAUCUGAACUCGAAAGGGAGGCUGGCCUCGUGGCCGGCCGCCCUCAACCAUAUAACGUUGUAAAA